rnacentral:tRNA from 2 species
GCCUGGCUGGCUCAGUUGGUAGAGCAUGUGACUUGAUCUCAGGGUUGUGGGUUUGAGUCCCAUGUUGGGCA